rnacentral:rRNA from 1 species
UCGAACGAAACUUCUUUAUCACCGAGUGCUUGCACUCCCCGAUCAUUAGAUGAGUGGCGAACGGGUGAGUAACACGUGGGCAACCUGCCCAAAAGAGGGGGAUAACACUUGGAAACAGGUGCUAAUACCGCAUAACCAUAGUUACCGCAUGGUAACUAUGUAAAAGGUGGCUAUACUACCGCUUUUGGAUGGGCCCGCGGCGCAUUAGCUAGUUGGUAGGGUAAAGGCUUACCAAGGCAAUGAUGCGUAGCCGAAUUGAGAGGUUGAUCGGCCACAUUGGGACUGAGACACGGCCCAAACUCCUACGGGAGGCAGCAGUAGGGAAUCUUCCACAAUGGGCGAAAGCCUGAUGGAGCAACGCCGCGUGGGUGAAGAAGGUCUUCGGAUCGUAAAACCCUGUUGUUAGAGAAGAAAGUGCGUGAGAGUAACUGUUCACGUUUCGACGGUAUCUAACCAGAAAGCCACGGCUAACUACGUGCCAGCAGCCGCGGUAAUACGUAGGUGGCAAGCGUUAUCCGGAUUUAUUGGGCGUAAAGGGAACGCAGGCGGUCUUUUAAGUCUGAUGUGAAAGCCUUCGGCUUAACCGGAGUAGUGCAUUGGAAACUGGGAGACUUGAGUGCAGAAGAGGAGAGUGGAACUCCAUGUGUAGCGGUGAAAUGCGUAGAUAUAUGGAAGAACACCAGUGGCGAAAGCGGCUCUCUGGUCUGUAACUGACGCUGAGGUUCGAAAGCGUGGGUAGCAAACAGGAUUAGAUACCCUGGUAGUCCACGCCGUAAACGAUGAAUGCUAAGUGUUGGAGGGUUUCCGCCCUUCAGUGCUGCAGCUAACG